rnacentral:lncRNA from 1 species
AUGUCUAGCCAAUCACCGUACGGAGACUCAGCUUGGGUAUAAAAAACAGGAUGGACAAAAUGAGAAGGAGACCCACUUGACCACUUAUCCUUUCUACUUUUUAGUGUACAGCCAUAGUCAGAUAGCAUAUAAGAGGUUUUGGCCUGAAAGAAAGGAGUAGCUACCCAGUGCGAUAGCUUGCUUUUACUAAUACAGGACCAACAUCGAAAGAAAGUGCAACUUAUAGAACAGCUGAUAUACAUUUUCCCUUAACAACAAGAAUCAAUCUCCAUUCACUGCAACUAAAACCUCCUUAAAAGUGAUCUAGUGAGACCUUACCGGUAAAGAUGACUAAGACAUGGAAAUCAAUCUAGCCAUUAGUGCCUUAUAUCUAGCCCCUUACUUCUCCUUUUAUCCCUGGGAGUUUACAGUUCAAAGCUAUGUCCUCGCUUAUCCAAUUGCGGAAGAAAGGGAUAGAGCAAACGAGCCUUGGCAGUCUCAGUCUAUUUUCCUUAGUGUAGAGAAUCCGUUUUCGGAGCUGUCCUACGCGGAUAAAGAAGCCUAACUAUCUGACAGGACUCUAAAGAAGUCACACCAUUAAGAAUGAGUGAGCGUACUAGGCCAUUUCUUUACCUUAUCUAUCUUUAUAUGGACUUUACCUUAAAUCGAAAUCGAAUAGUCGCUAGGGGCCUUUCCGUUUUCCCACUACCUUCUUUGAUGUAUGCAUAGCCAGUUUCCUGUGAUACAGAGUUCGUUGCCAGGCCAGUUACACCAUUCAAAAGAUUAACGGAUAAAUAGGCAAUAAAAUGGAAAUAAGUUCGCUCUCUUUCUUUUUUGAUAAGCCAGUACCUGUGCCUUCACCAGCCUCUCCAAUUACUGCAGUCAUAAGGUCAAGUAAAGACUUCUAUCCUAAAUGUAAGCCCUGCCAGCGAGUGUAGUAGUCGUUCUUACAGUUUCUUCUAAUAGAGAUGGGGCAGCUAUCGACUUACGAGAAUCAAUUUGUAUCUCUGUCCCUUCAAUCCUUUCAAGCAUUCCCUUUACAGCAAUGUGAAGCUAAACAUAUCCGCCAAGCCGACUAGUUUCCGUUUAUUGUACCUGUCGCUCCUGGAGUAGCAUUGGAAAGCUAAGCUCAUGGAGCAGAAAAGAGAAAGUUCCCUGACAUCAUCUAGAGAGAGGGCCAGCUCCCAGACAUCCAAUAGCAGUUAGAGAUAUGAUAGUUUGAGUUUCCGUUUCCGUCCCUAUUCCUGCCGAGCUUGUUGCAGUCUCCUUUUCUUCACUUCCAAGGUGAAGCGCAGCCCUCUUCUUGAAAGCCAACAAGCGCUAGGUAAAGGGGCACCAUCAAGUGAUCAAGGGACUAGUUUCAGGAAACGGCAUAGAAUGGAAUGUGUGAAGCAUCCAGCUAGCGAAUGGAAUGUGUGAAGCAUCCAGCUAGCCAUACAGUGAAAUCCGAGUUCUUUACAGGUCGGGUUCCUUUCAAAAGGGGCUUCUACGCUGACGCCAAGCACAAGCUACUUAUUUCGACUGAUUCCUUGUUUCUAUUAUCAAAUCCGGAGUUGGAACAUGUGCUCACUCGACGGUAUGGUGGAUAAGAGGUAAUCAGAGGCAAGCCAGCAGCCUUAAGCCAAAGAGGCACAACAGCGCAGCGAAAUGAGAUGGAAGGGCUCGAAAGCAAUAAAAGGUUCAGAAGCCCUUUGACCCAGUGCUAUCUAUGUUAGGGUUGAAUGAAACCAUAUCUCAUAGGGAAUAACUCGUUCCAGUACCGCUACCACUUCGAGUGCGAGAAGGAAGCCUGAUUCAUAAGAUUCAUUGUCUGGGAAAACCUUAUCCGGUAGGGAAGACAUCCCUACAGUAUUCUUUCCUCUGACUCAGUUCAAGGAAGUUCGUUUUUACUGUUCCUAAUUUGGGUGUUGUUUUCUUACUCAAUUAGAUAUAGAGAAGAUGUUUCUUAUUUGAGUUGAUUGAAGAUGCAAGUAAGAGGUUCGGUUACUCAAUGUUAGAAGAUGUUACUUUAUUUGAUUGAAUUAUGUGCACACUUAUAUGUAUGACUUGAUUACUUGACUUCACAUUUGAACACUUGAACUCUGACUCACUAGGCACUUAGGAACUCGCUUAGCGGAACUCCACUCCGUUAGCACAAGCGCUAAGUCAAUAACAAAGAAAGUCAAUAAUGCUCAUAUAUAUAAGGGCUAAGUCAAUAACAAAGUCAAUAAUGAGAGUAUAGAUUACUCUCGGUGCCUAUGCCUCUGCUCUGUCCUUUUUGAGUAGUAUAUCCUAUGCCUCUGCUCUGUCCUUUUUGAAGUUGUAUAUAUAAAUAGCACUCAAGUCUCUUCAGCAAGCAAAAGCGCAAGUAGAAACACAAUUCGAACUGUACUGUUGUCCCUAUACUCCACUCUUAUAACAGCGCUGUGCCUAUCUGUCCUUAUUGUUCGGUGCUGCCGCCUAUCCGAUAUUUCUCUGUGCUGUGCCUAUCUUCAACUAUUAUAACAGUGCUUGUGCCUAUCUUCUCUUUCUUCUUUUGCACUCAAUUCCUUUUGAACUCUCUGAAACAAGUAAGAGCGCAUGUGAGCUUGUUUUGAAGCAAUGCUGUAACGCUGUGUUAUGUUAUACAAUAAAGUAAUAUGUAUGCAGUGAGUUUAGGUAGUUUAUUGACUUUUGAAAUGGGAUGCUAAAUGGAAAGUUCUACGAGUGAGGGAUGCUAAAUGGAAAGUUCUACGAGUGGUAUUGAGAGCCGAUUCCCCCUAACCCAUAGUGCCUUACCUCCGUCAACUUCUUUCUAUGGGACCCCCUUCUUACGAGCUCAAUAACAUUGACCCUUUCCUUUCUCUCUAUAGAUUUUCCGUAUGCCUUCACUGCUCGUGGGCAUCAUAAAAUGGAAUCGAUUCUCUUUCUUUUCCUCUAUACUAAGAAAGAUUUCAACAUAACAAUAGUACAACAUAACAAUAGUAUAUUGCUCUUAUUCUUUGUUAUCGGGGCUGCUUUUCAGGGCAAGGCGCAUCACUCGGGAUUGAAUGUCAAGUGGAAUUCGAUCGACUUGCUUGAGUAAAGUAGGCCUAGUAUGCUAGCUCGACGCCGACUGCCCCUCUUAUACGACAACACAAAGAACUCAACUCCCUACCAAUGCGGUCCAUUCCCCUUUACUGUACCUUCAAGCUGUAACUACCUAGGAUUGCCUCUGCCUCUGUUUUUGUUGGCAGUCUUUAAGAAUCAAAUAGUCGAUAGAAACUCCCUAUUAGAUAGAAGCUCGUAUCACCUAUAAUUUAUGUUUAGUCUGUCCUGUCCUAUAUUUGAGUAAGUAUCCGUUAGGUUAGAUUACAACUAUUAGAUUCGAUUACAUUAUAUGUCCACUUCUCCUUAUUUUGAUAUCAUUUGGAGCACACUACUAUUCUGGGAUUGGAUUCUAUGGCGCACUUCUCUUCGAUUCCAUUAUAAUGUUUGUACAGGUACUUUCUGUUCUAUGAGUAGUUUCUAAUCCGAGUAGCGGUAAGGGUUGGUUUGAUUAAGUGAGUAAGCUGUGUUUUUCAUAUAUUCUUAAUAGAAAGUGUGCGUGCACUACUAAAGUAUUUGUACGUUUCAAUAAUGAGUUUCGUUUAGUAAAGUAGGUGGGGUUUGGGGGGUUAUAGUUGCAUCCGUGAAAUGGAAAUUCUGAAUUGUUGACAGGAACACUAGCGGUCCUCCUUAAUUCAGUAUACCUCUUAUCCUACUGUUACUACUGAGUUCAAUUAAUACUUGAGGGAUUCUAUUUCCAUUCUUUU